UAAUGUUCUCUUAUAUCCCAGGUUGAAAGAGGAAAGCUGCAACAGAUUGGCAACAAAUCCAACUUUUUCUCCAUUAUCAGAGAUGGAACAACAGACCAUUCAAUCACAGUGGCAGAGAUUAUCUACUGUUAGUUCAGUAUUGAUGGGAAGGCCCUCACACACUUUGUUAAGAACGCGGCUUCAGCAACGGCACCCUCCAUCUAAUCUGCAGUGAUGGAUUGUUUGGAAGAGUGACUUGGAAUCACUUUCCCCAUUCUUGAGAAGAAGUUGAUGGGGUUUGGUUCUGGUGGAGCAUCGGUAAUGCUUGGCCGAAACAACGGUGUCACUAAACUACUGAGGGAUGACUUCCCAAGCAUGCAGGCAGUGCACUGUACUUCCCAUCGACUAGAGUUGGCCUACAUGUACAAGGAUGCUGUGAAGCAAGUAACAAUUUGUAAUACUCUGAAUACCCUCCUCCUCAAUCUGCAAUUGUUCUACAAACACAGUUCAAAGAAUAGGAGUGGCCUCCAACUUACAGCUGAGUCUUGCAAUUUAUCUACAGUUGUCCCUACUCGGGUUGGAGUAAUAAGGUGGCUUGCCCAUCUUCAAAAGGCUCUACAACACUUGAUGAAUGGCUACAAACCACUCAUGAUGUACCUACAUCAGGUAUCAUCAAAGUCUUUAAUUUAGUCCACUUGGUAAAAAAUUUGAAAAAGUGUCUUGACAUUAGUGAUCUAACGAUCUUUUUUCAAUGGAUUCACAAAAACAUCUAUGCAUAUCCAAGAAGUGUUCAUAAAUAACCUAAUCACAAAGCAACACAUUACCAAAUCGAGGUUCAGUCAGGAGUCACUGUAGAUGCACUGGCUAAGGCAAGGAAUUUCCGGAAACAGCUGCUGAGGAAAGACAUUGUCAAGGUCCUUCACUUCAUGCUUGACGUAAGUUCCCCCUCUCCACACUGAAGAUGGAUCCAACGGAGCGGCAGGGCCGAUACAGGUUGGUGCCAGCAGUAUUCGCAGAAGUUGCCAGAACGUUACUGAGAGCAGCAGGGGACCGCCUUGGGGACUCCGGCCGUGGAUUUAUUAUCAGGGUUUACUCCCUUAGCCUUUCCCUUUUAAUAAGUGGGUAGAGCCGCAAGGCAGCGGAGGUUUGAAAUCAGAGUUUUCCUUUUCCUAGAUGAGCUGCCACCCAAGAUUGACGAGCCUCAUCUGCCCGAAGCGACGGGUUUUGAGGUGUCAGUGGACCGCAUUUCACCCCUUCUCCUGUUAGUAGAAACAGUUCUGCUGGGUUUAGAGACUAAACCACGUGAAUGCCAGGAGCUGGACUUGGUUGUCAGAGGCUGUUGGAGAUGCAUGCCAUUGGGAGCAUUUUAUACGGAGUGGGAGCUUAUCCCCACUACCACCCCCGCCUUGACAACCUUGGAACCAGUCCAGGCUGUUAGAAAAGCUACUAAAAGAAUAAUGGAACGUAGGGUUACAAGGAUACGACUUGACCUGUUUACGAGCUGACAUGUGUACGAGUUGACCACUUUCAACUUUAAAGCCUGCAAUAUUUUAUCCCUUGCUUUCUCUUUUUUAACUUUCAUUUCAAGGUAUGUGUAGGCCUACCAUAUAUGCCAUACCUACCGUCAUCUGCUCUUGAACACCAUGAAAACAAGAAGUACAGCUCAUACAGCUUCAUCCGCAGUGACGAGGAGUAAGACCAAGAUGAAAAUGAAACUAAAUCUACAUUCCCUUCUGUCAUCUGCAAAUGAAAUCCGAGAGCGUCCUCAUCUAAAACCCCCGCAAUCAUGAGGUACCUUGAAGUUGAGGAGGUACCGGCUCCGUAUACAAGCAGACCCCAAAAAACGUGAAGUUGCGUGGCAAGACAAAAUAAGUAUGCAAUGCAGAUUGCUCAUGACUGAAGAACAGAAACUGAGGAAUAGGGAACUAAGCAAAACACGAAUGAGGCGCUUCAGGGAGAAGAAAAAAGUUGCUGCAGUCACACAGCCUGUUUCGUUUUCACAGAGCUGUAAAGAGAAUGAGCAGCCUUAGGUGACGACUUGUGCUGCCAAAGAAAAACAUCAUAAAGUGCUUGAAGAGCAACAACAGAAGAAGAGAGAAGCUAAACAGAGAGAGCGGGCCAAAAUGUCAGCAUAUAAAAAAAGAUGGAUGAGGGAGAAAAACAGGAUAAGAAUGCAGAAGAAAAAAAAGAGAGAGACAGAAGAACAGAAUCGCAACAAAAAGUCAGCGCCAUCAGAGAAAAGCAGUGAGCCAUCCUCAUCUAAAGCUGCCACAGUACUUGAGAGCAUCUGCAAGUGCCGAAAAGAAACGCAAAAGGACCUGCAUAAGACACACACAGCAUGUAAAAUCUGAGAACAAAAUUUUCUCUGGAGCUUCAAGUCUAAAACAUCCAAGAAGUACAGAUUGAAAUGCAGCAUUGCCAGGCGCAUUGGGGUAUGGUACAAAACGCUGUUGAAAUAUUCAACUCCCCGUCACUACCCUUGUCAAAGCAAAUGCGAGAGUGAUGCCAUGCCAUGUCAUGUAGAGGACAACAACAAGGACUUUAUAUAAGCCUGGAUGUGAACUCCUGUCUGCCACCCAAAAGUUUUUUUGGAAAACCUUACUGCCAAAGUAUGUGAUAUAAUCCAGUGUGUCUGCUGCUUGCCCUGCAAAACUUGCCCUGACGAAAUUUGCACAGCUGAGACCUGGCAAUGUUUUGACUCAAAAACACACUAGGCAGAAUCAGUGCUUAUGCAAAUAGUGCACAAAUAUCGAGUUGGAGCUCAAAGCCAUCAAUCAGUGUGCAAUGAAGCAUAACCAGCCCAAGGUGAAAAUCCCCAAUAAGUACCAUGCAAUAAACUUAACAUGCUGCCCAAAGGAAAACACAGCAGAAUUCUUCAAGAAACACUGUGUUCUCCACUAGUGCAAAGAUUGUGGUAUCAAUGGCCUGGAGCUCACCUGUGUGCUCUAACUCAAAAUCAUGGCCAAGAAAACUUGAAUGGAUGAAGUGGAAAUUGGUGGAUGAUACCGGAAAAGGUAAGCGGAUGGCUCUGACAUCAGAAAGGGGUAGUCUUGAUGAUCUUGUGACAAGGUUGAUGGAGAAGAUGGGGCCAUUCGCUCAACACAUGUUCACUGCACAGUGGCAACACCUUCAGUACAAAGCAAUAACAAGCAAAAUACCGGCAAACACAAUAAUCUGUGUGUUGGAUUUUGCAGAAAACGUCACGUCUGCAUCAAAACAAAUUGCAAGGAGCUUACUGGUGUAAAAACCAAGUAACGGUCCAUGCUAUUACCACUGAGUACACCUGUCCUGGUGAUGGAGGAUCUGUGAGUGAAUGUAUCAACAUCCUGUCAGCUGACACAAAGCACGACAGCGACGCCGUUUCUGCAUUCAUGACAGAAGCAUAUCACCACCUCACACAAGUCAGAAAGCUCCCUGUGGUAAGAGUAGUUCACUGAUGGCUGUUCCAGUCAAUAUAAGUCCAAGAUACCAUUCGUUGACCUGUCCUUUUUGUAAAGAAGACUUUGGGUUUCAUGUGGAGCGUCACGUUUUUGGAUCCCAUCAUGGAAAAGGACUGUGUGAUGGGAAAGGGAGCAUUGUAAAGAAGGCAGUAGAGAGGGCAGUGAAGAGUGGCCAGUGUGUGGUACUUGAUGCGGAAUCCAUGCUUGCAUUUUGUGAGAAAAACCUGUCCAAACCAGCACAAGGAGAUAGCAGGUCCUAACAGGCACUAGAAAACUUCACGCUGUGGCUGGUCUCACACCAGGCAAAGUAAAAGUGAGAGAUCUGUCAUGCCUCUGCAGUGGGUGUGAAAACGGGGAAUCAUGCACAAACAAGGACUACACAACUGGCUGGAGUUCAAGAAUGUGAAGGCUGGGGAAAUAGAUGUGGCAGGAGGAUCUGCAGGGCAGGAAGAUCAGGACAAACACCAGGACGAACACCUUGAAAUAGAUAAGGAAGAACAACACCCCAUACUGCUGAUGCCACUGACCAAGGUAGAGAGUUUACCUUUUAUGAAGGUGGAUAUGUGCUGUGCCAGCUUCAGUGAAAUAAAACCUUUGAAAAGUACGUUGCUCAGGUUCUUGCAGUAAAUGGCGACAUGUUGAGAGUGAAGUACAUGAAGGAGGUCGCUCCCCACCAAGUUGUGUGGCCAGAUAAAGAUGACAUCUAGGCUCUUCCUGUUGAAGAUGUCAUUCGUCCACUACAAGUAGCACCUUCCUACACUACAGUUUUAGGGCUUUGAGCCAAACAGAGGAGUGAAUGUGACCAGAUUGUGAUCAGAACUGGACACUACCCGUUGAGAACUGGACACUAACUUUGAAAAUGCUGUUUUCACUCUGCAGUUUGUGCAUAUGUACUAACUGCAAGCAGUACCCACAUUUUAAAACGUUCUCUUGGACAUGUUUUCAGAAAACUUUUGAAAGAUUAUUUAACAUGUUUCCAGUCUGGUUGUGGACAGUGUUGUAGGUCUCAAGACCUGGGUUCGGUCUCGAGACCGUCUCAAGACCUUUUUUUGCGGUCUCGGUCUCGCCCUGUCAAAGUCUUGGUCUCAGGAGGGUCUGACUCCGUCUCGAAAGUGCCGGUCUCAGUCUUGGUCUCGGAUGCCAUAGUCUCGGGUCUCCCCCUCGAGACCAGGUGAGACCAUAACAAAAUGCACAUUUAGCUACCACGCAUGCAUGCGGUUGCAAAAGGCAAAAUUACCUCCACUUGAGUCCACUCUUUAGCCACUGAUAUAAAUACAACACAGUAAUGUUCAGAUUGUGUGCAAUAAACAAUGAAAUUGAUGCUGGAAUGAAGAAUAGUCAAUGCAGCAUGAUGCAACCUUGUCCCAGUCCAAUCCAGGGUAGCCAUGCAGCUUGACACCAUGGAGAUGAGGUUGUGAGUAGCGGAAUUCACACUCUAGACUGGUUCCCGUUCCCUACGUAGUCUCCAGCUGAAUGUAGGGCUGGGACGGGAACCAGUCUGUGUGUGUGCGCACGCUACAAAUUGUGUGCAUGUGUGAAAGUGCUUUCAUUCUGUCUUGUAUGGGUACGUCUUGUUUUAGUUGUUUCGUUACAGUACAUUUUGGGGGGAUUUUUUUUUUUCAGUAUUUUGCUUACAA